rnacentral:rRNA from 1 species
AUUGAACGCUCGCGGGAUGCUUUACACAUGCAAGUCGAACGGCAGCGCGGACUUCGGUCUGGCGGCGAGUGGCGAACGGGUGAGUAAUGUAUCGGAACGUGCCCAGUAGCGGGGGAUAACUACGCGAAAGCGUAGCUAAUACCGCAUACGCCCUACAGGGGAAAGCAGGGGAUCGUAAGACCUUGCACUAUUGGAGCGGCCGAUAUCGGAUUAGCUAGUUGGUGAGGUAACGGCUCACCAAGGCGACGAUCCGUAGCUGGUUUGAGAGGACGACCAGCCACACUGGGACUGAGACACGGCCCAGACUCCUACGGGAGGCAGCAGUGGGGAAUUUUGGACAAUGGGGGCAACCUUGAUCCAGCCAUCCCGCGUGUGCGAUGAAGGCCUUCGGGUUGUAAAGCACUUUUGGCAGGAAAGAAACGUCGCGGGCUAAUACCCCGUGGAACUGACGGUACCUGCAGAAUAAGCACCGGCUAACUACGUG